GAGACAGCAGCCGCCGCGGUAAUACAGAGGAUGCAGGCGUUAUCCGGAAUGAUUGGGCGUAAAGCGUCUGUAGGUGGCUUUUCAAGUCCGCUGUCAAAUCCCAGGGCUCAACCCUGACAGGCGGUGGAAACUACCAAGCUAGAGUACGGUAGGGGCAGAGGGAAUUUCCAGUGGAGCGGUGAAAUGCGUUGAGAUCGGAAAGAACACCAACGGCGAAAGCACUCUGCUGGGCCGACACUGACACUGAGAGACGAAAGCUAGGGGAGCAAAUGGGAUUAGAUACCCCGGUAGUCCCUGUCUCUUAUACA
rnacentral:rRNA from 1 species